GGUCAAGCGAACAAGUGCAUGUGGUGGAUGCCUUGGCGAUCACAGGCGAUGAAGGACGCGGUAGCCUGCGAAAAGCUACGGGGAGCUGGCAAACGAGCUUUGAUCCGUAGAUGUCCGAAUGGGGAAACCCGGCCCUUUUGGGUCAUCCUGGACUGAAUACAUAGGUCCAGUGAAGCGAACGCGGUGAACUGAAACAUCUAAGUAACCGCAGGAAAAGAAAUCAACCGAGAUUCCCAAAGUAGUGGCGAGCGAAAUGGGAUGAGCCUUGCACUCUUUAUUUGUAUUGUUAGCCGAA
rnacentral:rRNA from 1 species